UCUUCUCAGGCACAACGCUCACCCUGUGGAG
rnacentral:piRNA from 1 species